UACGUAGGGACCGAGCGUUGUCCGGAAUCAUUGGGCGUAAAGAGCGUGUAGGCGGCCACUUAAGUCCUGCGUGAAAUCUUGCGGCUCAACCGCAAGCGGUCGUGGGAAACUGGGUGGCUAGAGUGCGGGAGAGGAGAGUGGAAUUCCACGUGUAGCGGUGAAAUGCGUAGAGAUGUGGAGGAACACCAGUGGCGAAGGCGACUCUUUGGUCUGUAACUGACGCUGAGGCGCGAAAGCGUGGGGAGCAAACAGG
rnacentral:rRNA from 1 species